rnacentral:rRNA from 1 species
UACAGGCUUAACACAUGCAAGUCGAGGGGCAGCAUGGGAGUUGCUUGCAACUUCUGAUGGCGACCGGCGCACGGGUGAGUAACGCGUAUCCAACCUGGCCCUUAGUAGGGAACAGCCCGGCGAAAGUCGGAUUAAUGCCCUAUGUUUUCCAAUGAUGGCAUCUGACUUGGAACAAAGAUUCAUCGCUAAGGGAUGGGGAUGCGUCUGAUUAGCUUGUCGGCGGGGUAACGGCCCACCGAGGCGACGAUCAGUAGGGGUUCUGAGAGGAAGGUCCCCCACAUUGGUACUGAGACACGGACCAAACUCCUACGGGAGGCAGCAGUGAGGAAUAUUGGUCAAUGGGCGCGAGCCUGAACCAGCCAAGUAGCGUGCAGGAUUGACUGCCCUAUGGGUUGUAAACUGCUUUUAUGCGGGAAUAAAGUCAGGUACGCGUACCUGUUUGUAUGUACCGCAUGAAUAAGGACCGGCUAAUUCCGUGCCAGCAGCAGC